rnacentral:rRNA from 1 species
UGUAUUCAAAACAGUAUGACGCCCGGUCCCAUUCCGAACCCGGAAGCUAAGACCCACAGCGCCGAUGGUACUGCACCCGGGAGGGUGUGGGAGAGUAGGUCACCGCCGGAC